AUUGAACGCUGGCGGCAUGCUUUACACAUGCAAGUCGAACGGCAGCGCGGGGCAACCUGGCGGCGAGUGGCGAACGGGUGAGUAAUACAUCGGAACGUACCCAGAAGUGGGGGAUAAUGUAGCGAAAGUUACGCUAAUACCGCAUACGUUCUACGGAAGAAAGUGGGGGACCUUCGGGCCUCAUGCUUUCGGAGCGGCCGAUGUCUGAUUAGCUAGUUGGUAGGGUAAAGGCCUACCAAGGCGACGAUCAGUAGCUGGUCUGAGAGGACGACCAGCCACACUGGGACUGAGACACGGCCCAGACUCCUACGGGAGGCAGCAGUGGGGAAUUUUGGACAAUGGGCGCAAGCCUGAUCCAGCAAUGCCGCGUGAGUGAAGAAGGCCUUCGGGUUGUAAAGCUCUUUUGUCAGGGAAGAAACGGUCGGGGUUAAUACCUCUGGCUAAUGACGGUACCUGAAGAAUAAGCACCGGCUAACUACGUGCCAGCAGCCGCCGUAA
rnacentral:rRNA from 1 species